rnacentral:rRNA from 1 species
CAAAAGGAAAAAAAGGAGAAAGAGAAUAAACUUAUAAAGUCACAGCGCGGAGGUAUUCGCAAUUUUUUCAUGCCAAGUGAUAUUGGUGCCUGUAUUACUCCGCCGGACCCAGCUGAUGCGUUGGCGAUUGUUGCCAUUGUGGAAGAGCAACAAACAAAUGAAAACUCGGACUCUAAUCAGCAAGAAGAAAAUAUCAACUCCAACAUCGGCGAUGACAAUAUCUUCAAGUCUAGCACCAACAGGAGUCAGAGUUCCUUAGCACAUGAUGGACUAGGACAUUGGAGGCAUAUUAGUGAGAAGCUCAAAGAACAUGAAAAUAGCAUUGAGCAUAUUAAUAACAUGAACAAGUGGAAUGAAUUGAGAGUUAGACUGAGAAAACAGGAAACUAUUGAUAAGGAUUUGCAACAUCAAAUAGCAAAGGAGAAAGAACGUGUCAGGCAAGUUCUGUUAAGAAUAAUAGUAGUUGUGAAAUAUCUUGGUAAACGCAACUUGGCUUUUCGUGGAAGUAGUGAGCAGCUUUACAAGGAUGAUAAUGGUAAUUUCUUAGCUUGCAUUGAGAUGAUUGCAGAAUUUGAUUUGGUAAUGCAAGAUCACCUUAGACGUGUUGAGAACAAGGAAACCCAUUAUCACUAUCUCAGUCAUAAAAUACAAAAUGAGCUGAUAUCUCUUUUGGCUUCUGACAUCACAUGUUCUAUCAUAAAGGUUGUUAAAGAGGCCAAGUAUUUCUUUGUUAUCCUAGAUUGUACCCCUGAUGUUAGUCAUCAAGAACAAAUGACCUUUUUAGUUCGAUGUGUUAAUCUGUCUGAUGGCAAAAUAAAAAUUGAGGAGUACUUUCUGGGGUUCUUGAAAGUGGAUGACACUUCUGGCUUAGGGAUUUUCAAAGUACUGCUUGAUUCUAUUGAGUCUUUUGGCCUAAAUAUUCAAGAUAUAAGGGGUCAAGGAUAUGAUAACGGUUCUAAUAUGAAAGGAAAAUACCGAGGGGUACAAUCUAGGUUACUUGAUAUGAAUCCAAGAGCAUUAUAUAUGCCAUGUGCUUGUCAUAGCCUAAAUCUCACUCUUUGUGAUAUGGAAAAAUCAUGUGAGAAAGCUGUUUCAUUUUUUGGAAUUGUUCAACGCAUAUAUGUAUUAUUUGCUGGCUCUACAAAAAGGUGGAAUGUUUUGCUUAAACAUGUUCCUAGUUUGACCGUGAAAUCAUUUUCCAAUACUCGUUGGGAGAGUAGAAUCAAAAGUGUUACAGCAAUAAGAUAUCAAGCCGCUGAGUUAAGGUCAGCUUUGUCUGAGUUACGUCAUGCUUCUGACACUGAUCCUAAAGAUAAAAGUGAUGCCAAAAAUUUAUUUGAUACACUUGGUCGCUUUGAGUUUAUAGUUGGUAUGAUUAUCUGGCAUGAUGUUCUAUUUGCUGUAAAUAAAGUUAGCAAGAUGUUGCAAUCGUCAACCAUGUGCAUUGACUCCGCUUUGAAGCAAAUAAAAGGUAUAACAAAAUAUUUUGAGAAGUACAGAGAUGAGGGGUUUUCUUCAAGUCUGACCAUCGCUAAAGGUAUUGCAACUGAAAUGGGAAUAGAGCCAUUGUUUCCAGUGAAACGUCAUGCUAAGAGGAAGAAACAGUAUGAUGAAAGUGAUUGUCAAGAAGAAAUCUUGGAAGCUGAGAAGGCUUUCCAAGUUAAAUAUUUUAAUGUUUUGGUUGAUAUGGCGAUCACUUCUUUGAAUGAUAGAUUUAAAGAACUCAUGGUCUUUAAAGAUAUAUUCGGAUUUUUAUUGAGCUCGGGCACUCUCACGUCAUUAAGUGACAAUGAACUUGAAGAAUGUUGCACAAAAUUUGCAGAAACUUUCUCUCUUAAUGGUUCAUAUGAUGUUGAGGUAUACGAUCUUAUUUCUGAAUUGAAGAUUAUGAGAUUCACUUUGCCAGAUGGCGCAAUGUCUGCUAUGGAGAUUUUCAGGCAAGUCAGAGAAGUUGAUUGUUACCCCAAUAUAUCCAUUGCCUAUCGCAUCUUAUUUACUGUGCCUGUGACGGUCGCAUCGGCCGAGAGAAGCUUUUCAAAGUUGAAAUUCUUGAAGAAUUAUUUGAGGUCAACCAUGACUCAAGAGAGGUUAAAUGGUUUGGCCACAUUAUGCAUUGAGAAGAAAUUAUUGGAUGAGAUUGACAUCGACCCCAUCAUAAGUGACUUUGCAUCGAGGAAUGUUAGAAGAAAAUUUUAA